AGAGUUUGAUCAUGGCUCAGGACGAACGCUGGCGGCGUGCUUAACACAUGCAAGUCGAACGAUGAUGCCCAGCUUGCUGGGUGGAUUAGUGGCGAACGGGUGAGUAACACGUGAGUAACCUGCCCCUGACUCUGGGAUAAGCGUUGGAAACGACGUCUAAUACUGGAUAUGAUCACUGGCCGCAUGGUCUGGUGGUGGAAAGAUUUUUUGGUUGGGGAUGGACUCGCGGCCUAUCAGCUUGUUGGUGAGGUAAUGGCUCACCAAGGCGACGACGGGUAGCCGGCCUGAGAGGGUGACCGGCCACACUGGGACUGAGACACGGCCCAGACUCCUACGGGAGGCAGCAGUGGGGAAUAUUGCACAAUGGGCGAAAGCCUGAUGCAGCAACGCCGCGUGAGGGAUGACGGCCUUCGGGUUGUAAACCUCUUUUAGUAGGGAAGAAGCGAAAGUGACGGUACCUGCAGAAAAAGCACCGGCUAACUACGUGCCAGCAGCCGCGGUAAUAC
rnacentral:rRNA from 1 species